rnacentral:lncRNA from 1 species
AAUUUCUGUUUAGCUGUGUUUUUAAGCUUUCUGAUUUACAGGUAUUUUUUUUUCUGUCAAACAGGAAUGAGCACUGAAAAUGAGGUAUUCUGUGUUUUGCCCAGUCCUAUCUGAACCACACCAAGGGGAAAAAACACCCUCAGGGGUCAUUGUUUACAUUCACAUUUGAGGUAAAGUCUGCUAGAGAUGGUCACUGGAGAAAGGAAUUCACAGAAGAUGAAUUGAGAAAAUGAGGUGCCUGUGGUGAAAUUCUGGGUAAAAGCACAAAAUUAACUGUCAUCCAAGCCCAAGAAGGUGAAAAAUGCAGCUCAUACUCCAAGUCUCUGUGUGAACCCAGUCCAGAGGGAACAUUUUGGGACCAUUUCCUGUGUUUUGGACAGAAUAGAAGCCCUGGUUAAAUGAAGAGAGAAAUGUAGCCACCCCUUCUGACCCAAGAGGAGGAAAAGAUUUUUCUUCAGUUUUACAGCCUAAGAUAUUUGUAUCUUUGUCAAGUUUGCAGUCCUGAUCAAUGGGAGAGUCUUGCUCAUCCGUCAAGCUCCAGCUGUUUCCCUGACAAUGCCUCAGGCCCUGUUAUCUGCUGCUGCCUUUCUGCAGACUCACACCAUCACCUGGAACCUGCUGAGUGCCAUCAAAUGAAGGAGCAGUGAGAACUCACUGGUGAGAUGCUCUCAAAUAUCAGGGGUUAUUUGAGAUUUGGGAUUUCCACCAAGAAAUGAAAGAAUACCAAUCAGGGCCUACAGUUGAACUUAAAUCCUGCAUGACUCAUAUGUGCAGCCUCGCUUAU